rnacentral:rRNA from 1 species
UACGUAGGGGGCGAGCGUUUUCCGGAUUUAUUGGGCGUAAAGAGCUCGUAGGCGGUUCAGUAAGUCGGAUGUGAAAACUCGGGGCUCAACCCCGAGCCUGCACCCGAUACUGCUGUGACUAGAGUCUGGUAGAGGAGUGUGGAACUCCCGGUGUAGCGGUGAAAUGCGCAGAUAUCGGGAAGAACACCAGCGGCGAAGGCGGCACUCUGGGCCAGAACUGACGCUGAGGAGCGAAAGCGUGGGUAGCGAACAGG